CCAUCUACUGCUGAAUUUGACAACAAGCCACCACAAAGUUCACAUUUUACAGUGUAGAGUUUGUUUUGUCAGUUAGCUAAUUAACGUUAAAUUAAGGUUAAAUAGAUGUCGAAGUUAAAAAUACCCCGCACUUGAAAAUAACUUGAAGAUGUUGUCAUACUAUAACUAACUUAGCUUACCUCUUAGCUUAGAAAACGCUUGUAGAGAUUGUUUUAAGUCAUCUCCAGUUGAAGAAAAGUGACUGCGGUGAAGUGAGUUUUCGUUUUGUCCUCGGUGUGUGGCAGAAAGAGGAGAAAGUCAGGCAGUCACUUCCGGCUACCAUCCCAGGUUUAACAUCAAGACGUGGAUUUGCAGUAUGAGGGAGAUAUUGUUUCGUUCCUGCUAAAAACUAGAGUCGUUCAAACGUCUGCUUCUGUCCUUUAAACCAAGGCAUCAAGUUUCUCUUCUCUAUAGCUGCUGAAACCAUCUUGUCUCCAGUGGAAGCUAGCAUUCUCUCUUUAAGAUGACCUGUCUAAGAGUUCAGUUGCGGAAGCCCUCUUCCGACUCCCUUGAGACAUCAUCCUACCUCCUCAGAACCCGUGGCUGUAACCUCCUCUUCCAAAAUGCAAGUGACAUCUGCCUAGAGACAACUAAAGAGACAACUUUCUUCUUGUCCUUACUGACUGGUUUUUCCCUUUGCUUCUGCUUCUGAACACCAUCUUUCAUCCCAGCUGCACACAACCAUGCCAAGUUCAGUGUGGGAACGACAAACAUCCCUUGUACCCAAGCUCCGAAGUGCCAGCAACGUUAUCACACAACGAGGCUCCCACAUUUUAGCUGUAGACAGUAUGAACAGGAUUAAUUUAGAGUAGUACAAAGCCAGUGUUAGCAGUGACCAUGUCAACAUGGCUCCUAGUCUCCUAGAGCUUCUAACAUCACAGAGGAGAAACGAAGAAACCAGCAGACAGAAAGUGUGACUGAGGCUGAGAAAAAGUGACAGAUGAUAGACAGUUGACAACCCCCCCUCCUCCCCCCCCUACCCACACACACACACACAAAAUAAAACAUAAAUAAUUAAAUAAAUAAUGUAAUAAUAAAAAAUCAAUCAAACAUGUGCAGUUUAACUUAUGAUGACAAAGUGCUGCUCUUUGGUCCCCAGAUGGGAGAUGACACAAUGUUACAGUGUGAACAGAUUGGUGCAGCCACGGCAUGCAGAACACACAUACGCACACACAAAAGGCCCCUAGAGGCUAUUUGACCUUUUUUAUAUUGGGUAGCACUUUCAAAACUGUUGCUUGUGUUUCCUGUGCUGCCAGUUCUGAUGUUGUCAAGUUCAACAUGCACAUGAGGAUGCACAUGGUAUUGUAUUUAUACAUUUCUUAAAAGUGAAAUUAAAUUAGAUGUGGUCAUGACAUGGCGAAAGUAGACUUUUAAAUUUACAGUAUAUGAGAACUAUGCUCUGUUAUCAGAUGUGUUACCAGAAUAGCUUAUUUUCUUUCUUGCUGAGAGUUAAAUUAAUAAGUUGAUACCAGGGGAUGAUGUAUAGGUUAGCUUUGCAUAUGGACUGAUAGAAGAGGGAACACCUAGCCUGUUUGAUUGUACAGAGGUUGUGUGCAAGAUUUCUUCUCAGACAGAUGUGCUAUUAGGAGUGUGAGUCAUACCCUGGAUGUUUCCACGCACUCUGUGGGGACUCCAGGGAGUCAAGCAGCCAGAAUAUAGUCCCAAAAUGUUGACCCGUUGCUAAAUAUAAACUAUUCUGUUUGUUAAACAAUGAUAUCUGUCACUCUGCCAUAACCCUCUUUAUUUUGUUUUGAAUAGGUCAGCUGAAGCUGUCAGUCAUCCAAGAACAUGAAGUACUUGUUGUUAGCGGUGAGUUACUUUUAUGGAGACACUUGUACCUAG
ensembl:lncRNA